GGGUUGUGAGGUUAAGCGACUAAGCGUACACGGUGGAUGCCCUGGCAGUCAGAGGCGAUGAAGGACGUGCUAAUCUGCGAUAAGCGUCGGUAAGGUGAUAUGAACCAUUAUAACCGGCGAUUUCCGAAUGGGGAAACCCAGUGUGAUUCGUCACACUAUCAUUAACUGAAUCCAUAGGUUAAUGAGGCGAACCGGGGGAACUGAAACAUCUAAGUACCCCGAGGAAAAGAAAUCAACCGAGAUUCCCCCAGUAGCGGCGAGCGAACGGGGAGCAGCCCAGAGCCUGAAUCAGUGUGUGUGUUAGUGGAAGCGUCUGGAAAGGCGUGCGAUACAGGGUGACAGCCCCGUACACAAAAAUGCACAUAUUGUGAGCUCGAUGAGUAGGGCGGGACACGUGGUAUCCUGUCUGAAUAUGGGGGGACCAUCCUCCAAGGCUAAAUACUCCUGACUGACCGAUAGUGAACCAGUACCGUGAGGGAAAGGCGAAAAGAACCCCGGCGAGGGGAGUGAAAAAGAACCUGAAACCGUGUACGUACAAGCAGUGGGAGCACGCUUAGGCGUGUGACUGCGUACCUUUUGUAUAAUGGGUCAGCGACUUAUAUUCUGUAGCAAGGUUAACCGAAUAGGGGAGCCGAAGGGAAACCGAGUCUUAACUGGGCGUUAAGUUGCAGGGUAUAGACCCGAAACCCGGUGAUCUAGCCAUGGGCAGGUUGAAGGUUGGGUAACACUAACUGGAGGACCGAACCGACUAAUGUUGAAAAAUUAGCGGAUGACUUGUGGCUGGGGGUGAAAGGCCAAUCAAACCGGGAGAUAGCUGGUUCUCCCCGAAAGCUAUUUAGGUAGCGCCUCGUGAAUUCAUCUCCGGGGGUAGAGCACUGUUUCGGCAAGGGGGUCAUCCCGACUUACCAACCCGAUGCAAACUGCGAAUACCGGAGAAUGUUAUCACGGGAGACACACGGCGGGUGCUAACGUCCGUCGUGAAGAGGGAAACAACCCAGACCGCCAGCUAAGGUCCCAAAGUCAUGGUUAAGUGGGAAACGAUGUGGGAAGGCCCAGACAGCCAGGAUGUUGGCUUAGAAGCAGCCAUCAUUUAAAGAAAGCGUAAUAGCUCACUGGUCGAGUCGGCCUGCGCGGAAGAUGUAACGGGGCUAAACCAUGCACCGAAGCUGCGGCAGCGACGCUGAUGCGUUGUUGGGUAGGGGAGCGUUCUGUAAGCCUGUGAAGGUGUGCUGUGAGGUAUGCUGGAGGUAUCAGAAGUGCGAAUGCUGACAUAAGUAACGAUAAAGCGGGUGAAAAGCCCGCUCGCCGGAAGACCAAGGGUUCCUGUCCAACGUUAAUCGGGGCAGGGUGAGUCGACCCCUAAGGCGAGGCCGAAAGGCGUAGUCGAUGGGAAACAGGUUAAUAUUCCUGUACUUGGUGUUACUGCGAAGGGGGGACGGAGAAGGCUAUGUUGGCCGGGCGACGGUUGUCCCGGUUUAAGCGUGUAGGCUGGUUUUCCAGGCAAAUCCGGAAAACUAAGGCUGAGGCGUGAUGACGAGGCACUACGGUGCUGAAGCAACAAAUGCCCUGCUUCCAGGAAAAGCCUCUAAGCAUCAGGUAACAUCAAAUCGUACCCCAAACCGACACAGGUGGUCAGGUAGAGAAUACCAAGGCGCUUGAGAGAACUCGGGUGAAGGAACUAGGCAAAAUGGUGCCGUAACUUCGGGAGAAGGCACGCUGAUAUGUAGGUGAAGUCCCUCGCGGAUGGAGCUGAAAUCAGUCGAAGAUACCAGCUGGCUGCAACUGUUUAUUAAAAACACAGCACUGUGCAAACACGAAAGUGGACGUAUACGGUGUGACGCCUGCCCGGUGCCGGAAGGUUAAUUGAUGGGGUCAGCGCAAGCGAAGCUCUUGAUCGAAGCCCCGGUAAACGGCGGCCGUAACUAUAACGGUCCUAAGGUAGCGAAAUUCCUUGUCGGGUAAGUUCCGACCUGCACGAAUGGCGUAAUGAUGGCCAGGCUGUCUCCACCCGAGACUCAGUGAAAUUGAACUCGCUGUGAAGAUGCAGUGUACCCGCGGCAAGACGGAAAGACCCCGUGAACCUUUACUAUAGCUUGACACUGAACAUUGAGCCUUGAUGUGUAG
rnacentral:rRNA from 1 species